rnacentral:misc_RNA from 1 species
GAUGAAGAACGCAGCGAAAUGCGAUAAGUAAUGUGAAUUGCAGAAUUCAGUGAAUCAUCGAAUCUUUGAACGCACAUUGCGCCCCUUGGUAUUCCGGGGGGCAUGCCUGUUCGAGCGUCAUUAUAACCCCUCAAGCUCAGCUUGGUGUUGGGGCCUGCCAACUGGCAGCCCUUAAAAUCAGUGGCGGCGCCAUCUGGCUCUAAGCGUAGUAAUUUCUCUCGCUAUAGAGUCCCGGUGGAUGCUUGCCAGCAACCCCCAACUUUCUAUGGUUGACCUCGGAUCAGGUAGGGAUACCCGCUGAACUUAAGCAUAUCAAUAAGCGGAGGA